rnacentral:tRNA from 1 species
GAUUGUGGCUCAGUGGUAGAGCGCUUGCAUAGCACGUGUGAGGCACUGGGUUCAAUCCUCAGGACCA